UACAGAGGUCUCAAGCGUUGUUCGGAUUUACUGGGCGUAAAGGGCGCGCAGGCGGCAGACCAAGUCAGGCGUGAAAGCCCCGGGCUUAACCUGGGAGGUGCGUCUGGGACUGGUAUGCUAGAGUUCGGGAGAGGAGAGUGGAAUUCCCAGUGUAGAGGUGAAAUUCGCAGAUAUUGGGAAGAACACCAGUGGCGAAGGCGGUUCUCUGGGACGGUACUGACGCUGAGACGCGAAAGCGUGGGGAGCGAACAGG
rnacentral:rRNA from 1 species